GGUAUCGAGACAGCAUCAUCCAACGGGUUCGGCUCCCCAGUGAACCCGCCCACGCAGUAGGAGGACCCUAGAAGGGGAUAUAAACACAGGAGCCGGAAGCAGGGGGCAGUCCCUUAUUCAGCCUUAGCUUAGCUCACCUCCGUGGCGAGGAAAAAGUGCCUACUUUAAGAAUGUAGUUGUUAGCAAUAAUUACCUGAGCAACCAAUUCCGCUGUCCGGGUGCUCUGUUGAUCGUAUUCCCUAUCCUAAGGAAUUCCCUAAUCCAAGGGGGUUAGGGCCGGAGACGUCCGAAGACCGGGAAAGUUUUUUCCCCUCAGCUUGAUGUAAUGUGAAUAUUUGGGCUGAGAUUGUUACCAUCCCUGCUUGAUUUGUUUAUUCAGCAUACCUGGCACAUUCUGCUGGUCUUUAUCAAGUAUGCAGUCCCAAGAUGGCAACCUUCUUGGGACCAGGGAUGGGGGUCUUAUUUAUCUUUGAAUAUCCCACACCUGCUCAAGUGCCUUGAAUAAAGACUUCUCCCUCAAGAGAACUUGUAACUACAUGUGUCCUCUCUAGAAGCCAGAAGAACUAGGAUCUCUCCUCUCCAGAGAUCUUCCUAACUUCACUCCUCACACAGGCUUGGAGCAUCGAGUAAUCAUUCUCCACUAAUGAGGAGACCUUUAUUCAAAUGAGCUUGAGAUGUUUCCUCCAGUUUACUUUAGACACUUUGGAGAUAUUUGCCGGAAAAACAAAUGUUUACAACUGGAGUUAACAAUUGGGCUGGUAAGAUGAGAUUUCCAGAAACUCAUCAUUUUGCAAGACCACAUCAACCUUGAAACUCAAUCUUAUCUGGAAUCUGUGCCCCUGAGGCCCAUUUCUCCUUCUCUCUGAGUGUGGACAAUGGACAUUGGAGAGCUCUUUCUGGAUUCUUCAUUCAAGAGGGGCACUUAGGGCAACCAUCACAUCAUCUCCAUCUGGUUGCACUCCUCUGAACUUCAUGCCACCUAAGACCUUCCCUUUCCCCCCACCCUUUUCACCUUCUUUUUAUGUAUUGUUU